rnacentral:lncRNA from 1 species
AUGUUAAGUUUUUGGAUGAGUUUUUAGCUCAAAAUUUCCACAAGUAUAGAUGACUAUGUUAAAAAGUUAUAUAUAAAAAACUCAUAGUAUUUAAACAUUUAAUUUUUGAGAUAUGAUGGAAUUAGUAUAUAGGUGCAUAGAAAUUGACAUGUUUAAAAUUUGUUAGAAAUUAGGUGAUAUUCAAAAUCUUGUAAUGAAUUUAUAGUUGAAGUUUUGUAUG